CUCUUAUUCAUAUACUCAAAACCAAUCGUCUAACUGGUUCAAAUUACAAAGACUAGCUCUGAAACUUGAAAAUUAUUUUGAGUUCUAAGAAGCUGAGCUAUGUCAUAGAUCAGGACAUCCCUGAGCUACUAGCCCAUCCGACUACUGACCAAAAGGUAGCAUAUAAAAAAUGGUCAGAUGAUAACAACAAGGCUCAGUGUUAUGUGUU
rnacentral:lncRNA from 1 species